rnacentral:rRNA from 1 species
UACGUAGGGGCCGAGCGUUGUCCGGAGUUACUGGGCGUAAAGCGCGCGCAGGCGGCGCGGUAAGUCUGAUGUGAAAUCUCCCGGCUUAACUGGGAGGGGUCAUUGGAAACUGCCGAGCUUGAGGCGAUGAGAGGGGUGUAGAAUUCCCGGUGUAGUGGUGGAAUGCGUAGAUAUCGGGAGGAAUACCAGUGGCGAAAGCGGCACCCUGGCAUUAGCCUGACGCUCAUGUGCGAAGGCGUGGGGAGCGAACGGG